AAAUUAGAUGGCCUUUCUACAAAUCUAAAAUGAUGAGAUGAUACCACAUUGGGCGGGGAUUCAUAAAAUAUAAACAAUGAUAAUCAUUAUACUCUGAUCGAUAAUAUAUUCAUAGUCGAGAAAAAUUGCGCAAGGCAUUGAAUAAUCUGUUCCUUUGUAUUAAAGCGAGAUGGACAAUGUAUCCACAAAGUCACGGCUUCUGAAACUCCAAUACUUUAAAAUAAUUGGCGCGGACACACUACUCAUAAGGACUUUGCGUAAAAAAAAGGAUGAAGGAUUACACGUACCUUGACACGGGCCUUGAAACUCAUUGAAAUUUUAACUGGUACCAAACCACUAGCUAAAUGCUAGCAUUUAUUAAACCUAACUACUCUGAUUCUAAUACCGCUCAAACAACGCAGUUACAAUCAAAAGCGAUAGAACAGCAAAUAAUUGAGUACACAUGUCCAAAGCAGUCGGGUCUAUAUAACUGACAGAGACUCAACUUUUGUUCACCUCAACAAUAGUAACAAUUAUACAUUUUUAUGAUUGACAUUUUGACUUAUUUAUAGAAAAAUUAGCGUAAUAAGAUAUUUACGAAAAAUUUAAAAUACUUUUCAGGAAUAAGAAAAAAAUCUCCUAAAUAAUUUUUAUUUCUGUAUUAUAGAGCGACAGUUGAAUUCGAUUCCAGUUCCGUGCACUGAACAAUGAAACACAAAUUUUUAUUUAAAUGCUUCACGAACAAUGUUCAUAGGGGUAUAGAGAAUGGCUGGAAGAAAACAUUUUUUAAGCAAAAAAUAAUUUCGCAAUAGGAAAAAUAACAUUUUAACAUAAAAUUAUCAAACAUAUUUAAAUUGUUGAAACUCAAAAGAAAUCUAGUAACUAAUUGAAUAUUCACAUUUUAUGCAAUAAUUAAGAGAUUAUUAUCAAAACGAAAAGGCGAAAUUCAAUAGAAUAACAAUGCUCAUUCUCUAAGGAUGGAAUAACAAAUAAAUAAUAAAUUGUUAAUGUUCUAAAAUUUACAGUAGUUUAAAUAAAUGAACUUACAAGAAUUAUUAUUUCAUGUUUUGAGUAUUGGCAGAAAUUAGAGUAAUAAAUCAAAGGCUUUCUAUAUAUACUAGAGAUAAGUAUGUUUGUAAUUCAGCCAGUAAAGUGCUUCUAAUGAGUGCAUUCUUGUCACAGUAUCCAUCGUGCAACUUUUGUUCUUGUAAUGAGAUGCACCUUUUUUAUACGCACAUAUGAUUAUAUACGCAUAUGGGUGUUAAGCUGUUAAAACUCCAUUUAGGCAGAAUGAAAUGCUGAACUUCCAAAUCCCCACAGUUUACUUGGUUGAAGCGAAAUGUUAGUACGGAUUCUCCAACGACGACGCCUUUUAUAGCUGUCUGCGUUCCCAUUUGAAUACUUGAGUUCGUUUUGCGAUGUUUUUAAAUUACCAAAUUGAAUACGUUCAUUACAAAUACAGAAAUAAAUAAAGAACUGACAAAUAAAUAAAUAAAAUCUAACAGUGUAGAAAAUAUCACAUAGUAAGGAGUCUACAUAGUAGGCACCAAAUAUCACUUGUUUGCUUUGUACUAUAAAUUUUGUAGAGUCGUUGGCAGUACCAACAUGGAAUAUGAAUUUUACAUGUAAAAAUAAUUAUUUUGAGUAAUAACAAUUGUAAUGAUUAUUUAUAAAUUAGUUAUGGUGGUAGCUAUAAUUCAGUUUUUUUUUUUUUAUCAGCUAUAGCAAACAUAAUUUAUUUUAUUCUUUGAUAUAAGUUUAUAUUUAAUUCUAUAGAGUACAUUAAUGUUAUAUAUUUGUUAGUAGUAACUGCAAUAGUUUUCGAAUAAUUUUGCAUUUGCUUAAAUUUUUAUAUUUUUAGUAAUUUAAUAUACAAGUAUCUUUUAAAAUAAGAGCGGAUAUUUGAUUUUUUUUGUUUUGGGAUAAACUCAUCAAAUAACAAUGAAAUAUCGUAUAUAUUUUUAUGCAUAUAGUUUGAGUUUUAAACAUACCAUACAUAGCACGUGCCUUUAACAUGUAUAUAUGUAUGUUUUAUUUUCUUUUUGCCUUAAUUAAACCAACUGAAAUAAAUAUUGUGUCUGCGCACAUUUAAGCAACUGUUAACAGUUAGUUAUAUUUUUAUAAUGUGUUUUCGCAAUUAUAACUACGUAAUGUGUGCUUCCUAAUUCUUUCUUGCUUUUGAUUUUAAGUGUUUUUUUUAUAAGCUUCAUACUUGUUUUAUUUAUUUUUUUUGUUUUGUUAGCGACUUGUUUGCGCAGCAAUUGCACAACAAAGUGCAAUAUAAAAUGCCGUAACAAAGUGUUGGCCGAGUUUUAAUUUAUUAUAUGUUUU